rnacentral:rRNA from 1 species
UGGUGGGCACUCUAAGGAGACUGCCGGUGACAAACCGGAGGAAGGUGGGGAUGACGUCAAGUCAUCAUGGCCCUUACGGCCUGGGCUACACACGUGCUACAAUGGUCGGUACAAAGGGUUGCCAAGCCGCGAGGUGGAGCUAAUCCCAUAAAACCGAUCGUAGUCCGGAUCGCAGUCUGCAACUCGACUGCGUGAAGUCGGAAUCGCUAGUAAUCGUGAAUCAGAAUGUCACGGUGAAUACGUUCCCGGGCCUU